GGCUGAAUAUGAUGAUCCAAAGAAGGAUAAGGUCCAUGCACCUACAAUGCUAAAGAAAACACUAGAGAUCCCAAGCUUGGUUGCAAUCUCAGGUAACCAGUAAGGAGCGAAAUCAAAGAUGAUCCAAUCUGGAGAAGAAGAAUGUAAGAAGUGAAAUAAAGAAUCUUGGAGUCCGUCAUAGGCUAACUUAAGGUAUGGAAUUUUGUCGAAAGGUAAGUCUGUUGUGGCCUCUGCGUUGUUUGGGAGAUUUUCUACAUGGGGUAAAGCGAGGCUUACUAAAUUGAUUCGCGGUUUUAAAUUUGCAGGUAUAGAUGGUAAACGUUGGAUGUUUCUUGGAGUAGAUAUAAAGGAGAUCUUGUGACCCCUUUGAGCUAUUAGCUUGGCGAGCUCUAGAAAUGGGAUGAUAUGACCGAAAGCAAGCCAUGGGAACAUGGCUAUGUGGAGCUCGUCAGGUUCAUCCAUUGAUACUUCCUGAUCUAAA